CUGAAAACGGGGUUGGUGGUGCACAAGAAACUGGGAGAGAGCACGCCAGGUCAGCUGAUUCUAACUGGCCAUGUGGCAUCAUGCUCAGCACAUAAACUACAGGGGAAGCUGGCUAAGGGCUGCUGCUUGGGAAGUGGCUGGGAAUCUGCUGGUUGGUGUUUGGAUGUCAUUAGAAAAUCUAAAAUGUGAAUCAAAUAGGAAGCCAAGACCAGAGUGCAAUGCUUCCUUUGACUUCAUUCUUUCAAACACCAGGUCCCAUAUGAGCCAAGAAGAAAGAGAAAGGAGAUGGAAGGAGA